CAUCAGCAUGUGAGAGGACUCAUUAGAUUAGAUUUUUGAACAUGUGAAGGGUCGGAACAGCACUUGUGUCAUUAGGUCCAGGCUGUGAAAUUUUCAAAGGCGGCUGAGUGGGGAAAGUCUAAGAGUCACUCUUUGGAAACAAGUCUCAGCGGAAUAGCCUGCUUCUGUUGAAAGUGCGAAGCAGAAAACUCUGUAAUGUGCUUCACAGACAGUGCACACAGUUAAACAGCUAUUUUGCUUUUUUUGAAAAGUAGAAGUGUAUGGGUAUCAUGUGAAUCUCAGUUGUUCUUUCUGCACAGAUUUGUUUGCGCGUGUUUCCACAGAUCCCGCUCCUGUGCUGGAGGCCUCACAUUCCCUGGAGGAAAGGCUGCAGCAGCUUCAGAGUUCAGCCCCAGACAGCGAGGCCCUGGUACGAGAGAUCAGUGGGCACUGGAAGAAACACCUGGAGUGCCUUGAAAAGACAGAGCCCACAGAGGACGAUCAGGCAAUCUCAGACACAGCAGUGAAUAAAGAGGCCCCAGAAUCCAGCUCUCCAGCCGCCCUGAUGACCCCAAA